rnacentral:rRNA from 1 species
UACGUAGGGUGCAAGCGUUAAUCGGAAUUACUGGGCGUAAAGCGUGCGCAGGCGGUUUCGUAAGUCUGUCGUGAAAUCCCCGGGCUUAACCUGGGAAUGGCGAUGGAGACUGCGAGGCUAGAGUUUGGCAGAGGGGGGGUAGAAUUCCACGUGUAGCAGUGAAAUGCGUAGAGAUGUGGAGGAACACCGAUGGCGAAGGCAGCCCCCUGGGUCAAAACUGACGCUCAUGCACGAAAGCGUGGGGAGCAAACAGG